rnacentral:rRNA from 1 species
GAUGAACGCUGGCGGCGUGCCUAAUACAUGCGAGUCGAGCGAACAGACGAGGAGCUUGCUCCUCUGACGUUAGCGGCGGACGGGUGAGUAACACGUGGAUAACCUACCUAUAAGACUGGGAUAACUUCGGGAAACCGGAGCUAAUACCGGAUAAUAUAUUGAACCGCAUGGUUCAAUAGUGAAAGACGGUUUUGCUGUCACUUAUAGAUGGAUCCGCGCCGCAUUAGCUAGUUGGUAAGGUAACGGCUUACCAAGGCAACGAUGCGUAGCCGACCUGAGAGGGUGAUCGGCCACACUGGAACUGAGACACGGUCCAGACUCCUACGGGAGGCAGCAGUAGGGAAUCUUCCGCAAUGGGCGAAAGCUUGACGGAGCAACGCCGCGUGAGUGAUGAAGGUCUUCGGAUCGUAAAACUCUGUUAUUAGGGAAGAACAAAUGUGUAAGUAACUAUGCACGUCUUGACGGCACCUAAUCAGAAAGCCACGGCUAACUACGUG